UACGGAGGGUGCAAGCGUUAAUCGGAAUUACUGGGCGUAAAGCGUGCGCAGGCGGUUUGUUAAGUCUGCUGUGAAAUCCCCGAGCUCAACUUGGGAAUUGCAGUGGAUACUGGCAGGCUGGAGUAUGGUAGAGGAAGGUGGAAUUCCCGGUGUAGCAGUGAAAUGCGUAGAGAUCGGGAGGAACACCAGUGGCGAAAGCGGCUUCCUGGUCCGACACCGACGUUCAGGCACGAAAGCGUGGGGAGCAAACAGG
rnacentral:rRNA from 1 species